rnacentral:rRNA from 1 species
GAUGAACGCUGGCGGCGUGCCUAAUACAUGCAAGUCGUGCGAACAGACGAGGAGCUUGCUCCUCUGACGUUAGCGGCGGACGGGUGAGUAACACGUGGAUAACCUACCUAUAAGACUGGGAUAACUUCGGGAAACCGGAGCUAAUACCGGAUAAUAUAUUGAACCGCAUGGUUCAAUAGUGAAAGACGGUUUUGCUGUCACUUAUAGAUGGAUCCGCGCCGCAUUAGCUAGUUGGUAAGGUAACGGCUUACCAAGGCAACGAUGCGUAGCCGACCUGAGAGGGUGAUCGGCCACACUGGAACUGAGACACGGUCCAGACUCCUACGGGAGGCAGCAGUAGGGAAUCUUCCGCGAUGGGCGAAAGCCUGACGGAGCAACGCCGCGUGAGUGAUGAAGGUCUUCGGAUCGUAAAACUCUGUUAUUAGGGAAGAACAAAUGUGUAAGUAACUAUGCACGUCUUGACGGUACCUAAUCAGAAAGCCACGGCUAACUACGUG